rnacentral:rRNA from 1 species
UACGAGUGCCUCAAGCGUUAUCCGGAAUCAUUGGGCGUAAAGGGUGUGUAGGUGGUCAUGUUAGUCUCUCGUUAAAUAUUGCGGCCUAACCGUAAAUCUGCGAGGGAAACGGCAUGACUUGAGUAUGCAAGGGGUCUCUGGAACUCUAGGUGUAGCGGUGAAAAUGCGUUGAUAUCUAGGGGAACACCAAAAGCGAAGGCAAGAGACUGGGGCAUUACUGACACUGAAACACGAAAGCGUGGGUAGCGAAUGGG